rnacentral:SRP_RNA from 1 species
GCGUCGAUCGAUCAGCCUGCGUGCCCGCUGCCGGCCGGUGUCGCGCCCAGAGGCCCGCCCCUCGUGCCGUCACGCGAGGCACGAAGAUCAGCGGAAGGGAGCAGCGAUGCUCGCGC